rnacentral:lncRNA from 1 species
UAGUUUUUAAAUAUAAUCACGACCAAAUGAUACGUCAUUACAGAACGAUGACGUUUAUCGAGUGGAGGUCAUUAUGUAUCAUAUGGGUUGGUUGUCCUCUUAAUUAAGGAGUGUGGUGACACUGAUAUGGCAUAUAGAUGAGAUGUAGGAGUACAUCAUUACUGAACAGGUGACUCACCUACUGAGCGUUCUGUUGUCAAAAGCUGCUCGUGAAGCAUAUGGGCAUAAGUAUCCCUCAGAUUUAAGAUCACCAUAGUGACUUACAAGCAACUCACUAUGCUUUGAUAUCAGACUAUCUAGAUUUUUAAUGC